GAGUUUGAUCCUGGCUCAGAGUGAACGCUGGCGGCAGGCCUAACACAUGCAAGUCGAGCGGCAGCGGGUCCUUCGGGAUGCCGGCGAGCGGCGGACGGGUGAGGAAUACAUCGGAAUCUGCCCUGUCGUGGGGGAUAACCUAGGGAAACUUAGGCUAAUACCGCAUACGACCUACGGGUGAAAGCGGGGGAUCGCAAGACCUCGCGCGACAGGAUGAGCCGAUGUCCGAUUAGCUAGUUGGCGGGGUAAAGGCCCACCAAGGCGACGAUCGGUAGCUGGUCUGAGAGGAUGAUCAGCCACACUGGGACUGAGACACGGCCCAGACUCCUACGGGAGGCAGCAGUGGGGAAUAUUGGACAAUGGGCGCAAGCCUGAUCCAGCCAUGCCGCGUGGGUGAAGAAGGCCUUCGGGUUGUAAAGCCCUUUUGUCCGGGAAGAAAUCGUCUGGGCUAAUACCCCGGGCGGAUGACGGUACCGGAAGAAUAAGCACCGGCUAACUUCGUGCCAGCAGCCGCGGUAAAGGGCGAAUUCGCGGC
rnacentral:rRNA from 1 species